UGGCUGAUGGCUUAAGUGAAACCUGAGAGUCCGCCAGCCAGAACCAGCCAGUCAGGCCAGCCCCAGAUUCCUGGCCCACAGAAGCUGUGGAACACAAACGUUUCUUGCUUUAAGCCAUGAGGUUGUGGCAUUGUUUAUUGUACAGUAAGGACAGCUGUAACACAAGAAGAUGCUGCUAUGACCAUGCCAUUGACGGAUGAGGAAACCCAGGCUCACUGAAGGGCCCUGGGGUGCCCCAUGGUGGAGGUAAGCCCAGGGCAGACUCAGCUCAAAGCCAGUGCUUUCAUUGCUACUCCUCAGGGCACUGGCCUGAGGCCACAGGCCAUUAAAGUCAAGGGGGACCUGGAGUAAGGAGUCACCUUGGCCAAGGUCACCCAACUGCCUUUCUGGGCAGUCCCCUGCCUGAGCCCCUGCCCCGGUGCUCUUACAUUGGAGAGUGGAUUUAGCAUGGGGCAGGCAGCCCUGUUUCCAUAGCAAUGGAAAACUGCACCUUGACUGUGGAGCCAGGCUUUCAAGUGACCCCCUAGCCCAGCGGCCAGGGCCCUGAGGCCAGGUCUGGCUUUGUUCACUCACCUGGGAUGUGCAGCUGCUGCCAAAUGUGUAUGUGUGUGGGGCUCAACCAGGAGACAAGGCAGACAGGGGUGGGGAAGCAAGCAGCGUGGAGGCCUGUGUGGAAGGACCCUGCCACUGUCCUCUGGCCUGCCAUCUCCCAGCAGAUGGAACCUCCUAAUUUCCUAAGAGUACAAGUCUGCCCACCUGAACGCCAGGCCUCACUCCCUCCAUGGCUCCCCAGUGCCCUUGGGAGAAAGGUGUAUUUCCCACCAGGCCCCACGGUGCUUCUUCAUAAGGAUGCCUCUGCCCUGUAUUCCAGACUCCUUAGGAAUUCGCCCCUUCUUGCCUCUGUCCCAUCUCCUGCCGGUGUUCCCUCCUUCUGGGCCUCACUACUAUUCUCAGUUCCUGAACUUCCCCAUCAAAGCCCUGAGCACACAGCAGGCACUCAAUAAAUACUCAGCAGGUGAGUGAACAGUUGCCACACUGCCCUUAGCUCAGCUGUGUACUCCCCUCUGCCCCUGAAUCAUGCUCUCAGCCAUUUUUAUUUUGAAAUAGGGCUGGCUAAGUUGCCCAGGCAGUCUGGAACUUGUGAUCCUCCUGCUUCAGCCUCCCCUGAGUCUCUGGGAUUCAGGACACCAUGCCCUGCCUUCUUCCUGACUUUCCAGUUUCUCAAGAGCUGAGAACUCAGGACUCAAGGAAACGCUCCUUGGGAGUUCAGAUUUUACAAUCAUUUUGAACUUUUGCAACUGCUUUGUGGGGACAGUGUCGUUGCUAUCACCCCCUUUGCAGCUGGGGAAGUAAGGGAUUGGGGCAUGCACAGUUUUGAGAGGUGCAGCUCUGAAGAGGGCCUGGGCCCACCCCAAACGUCACCCCUUUAUGGGAGCUCUGAUGGGUCUCGGCCCUCAGCCCCUGCUUCUCCCAGCUCCACGCCCCAUGACGGGUUGUCAGGGCAUCUCGAGGGUUGGAGUGACAGUUCUACUAGCUGGGGUGGGGAAACUUGGUCACUUAAUUCCCACUGUGGGGACAGGAGGAAGAAGUGGGGUGAGUGGAAGGUUUUCAGGAGGCGGGGGUGGGGGGCAGCUUGCCUGGAGAUGCCAUGUGGCUUUGGCUCAUGGGUGAGUCAUGUUUAGUGCCACUUCAGGGCUCUCUCAAUAUUACUGGUCACACACAAAACCCAUUCUGCAGCCUGUCUGUGGACAGAAGGAACCUGCCCACUGACAGUGUCAGCUACUGGACUCCCACUCCACAUGUCUUACGUGCUGAGGCUCAUUCCUCAGAAUGACCCUGAGUCAGUUGCUGUGAGUUGCCCAUUUUACAGGUGAGGAAACCUGAGGCCCUGGUCACACACCGGGGAAGAGUCUGAGGUUGCUUACCCCCAGUUAGUCCCUCUUGGCAUCUUAUUGGGAGGCUGGGGCACUGACUGCCCCACACUCCCCUGAAGUGGAAACUGCUUACCAGCUGGCUGGUCUGAAGCCCAGAUGCGGGGACAGGGUACGACCUUGACUUCUGUACCAGGCCCCAGAGUUUAAGCAACCAGUUUCCAUUCUGCUGCACAAGUGGGAAAAAUCGGGGCUGGGGACAUAGCUCAGUUGGUAGAGUGUUUCCCUCGCAUGCAUCAGGCCCUAGGUUCAAUCCCCAGCACCACAAAAAAACAAAACAAACAAACAAACAAACAAACAAAAAAAACCCACAAAACAAGUGGGAAAAAUCCUUCCCUCUUUCUUCAGGGCAGUUGGAGCCCAAAGCACAGUCGUCAACCCAGAUGCCACACGGCCCAGGUGGAGAUAAGUCAAGGGCCUUGUGCUGUCUAGGGAGGGCCGCUCCUCAGCUGGCUGUUGUCACCUUAGAAUGUGGCCUAGUGUGGCCGAUACCAGGGUUUUCAAGAGAAGCUGUACUUGCCUGUCUCCUCAGGAUGCUCUACACCUGUGGAGUAACUUCCUGGGUGUGGCCACGGUUCAGGCUGGGAAAUGGGGUCACCCCUGCUGAAGCAACACCCUCUGAGAGCUGGCCUGACACCCGGCUUUCUGAAGGAUCUGGAAACACAUCUUGUCUACAUGGGAAGAUGAUGGACGAGCUGCUAUUCAUGACUCCUAAGUAACAUGCCCCUGGAUUUUAAUGUUGGCACCCAACUCAAAAACUAGUUUUUAAAAAUAGAGUUUUGCAAAAUACCUCUGAGGACCUGUUCAGACCCCCAGUUUGCUCCCCCAGCUCCAGAACAAAGAAGCAGGACACCCAGAAUUAUUAUACAAUUCUGUAUUUAGCGACUUGUUUACAGAAUGUGUUCCUUUUUUUUAAAAUUUUAAACAAAGUUCAUCAAUCUCUCAUAGAAACAGUUUUGUGGGGUUUUGUGGGUGGUGUUGUUUUACCGUUGUAGGACGUGAACCAGACGGAGCUGUUCACGGGUCUGCCAGCUUUGAGUACGACAGGAUUUCUGUGUUCAGAAGACUAAGUGCUUAAUCAAAUCCCGUCACACUAAAGCCAACGUGAGUUCUCUAAGGAUCGGAGUCCUGGAUUUCAACGUUGCGUUGGUUCCGAGAGUAAAAAGUGGUGUGUUUCCCCAGUGUCUAGUGCAACAGGGCGGUGGUGGCUACACGAUGUUUCAUUUGUCCCAGAUUGGAGUAGUCUGAAAACUGGUCUCUGUUUCCUAUUGUCAAAAUAUAAAAAUACCUUCAUCUGGAUAAAAAUGUAUACAGUGGAAAACUCUUCAGUGCAUAGCCUGGGUGUGCGGAGGGCGAGGCCCUCCUCCGGGGGUGUGUCAACGUUGACUGGUGUGGGACUGCAGCCUGGGCUGGGUGCACUAGAGUUGGGAUUUCUGAGACGGUCUUCAGUUGUCCCUUUCUGGUCGCUGGGUUUUGCCUGUGGUUUCAAAAUACUCACCACAUGUGUCUGUCAUCUCUCCCCUUGGCACUGACUUGGCACCAGUUACAGUCACCUUUUUGUUACCAUUCCGGGGAGUCACCCAAUUUAGCCUUCCCACAGUUUGGAAAAUGUAAAGAAGUAAAAUGGAGAGCUUAACCACCACCCUGGAGGCUGCUCCAUUCUGAUGGGGAGCUCUCUCCCUAGACACACGACGAAAUGUGCAGGAAAAGCUCCCCUGAGUUGGGGCUGAGUCUUGGCUCCCAGCAGUCAUGCGCUGGAAAGAAGGGUGGCCUUGGAGACUGGGGUACGUGGACAUGCUGUUCUGAAUUCAGCCUUCCAGAUGCAGCACCGGGGUCAGCUUGAGAAGGUGAUGAUCAGGUCUGCAGGGGUCUCUAGUGGGUGAAUCUGCUUUGGCACUGGCUGCUGAGCUUCACUGCACGUGGGAUAACCGCACUGUCCCUCUGAGAGCACGAGGAGGGAGGAUGCAGCCAGUCUUCUCUGCAAUGCCCAGUGGGGAAACUUGCUGGGUGUGGCCAUGAUUCAGGCUUGGAAUAGGGGUCACUCUGGCUGAAGCACCAUCUCAGAGCACCUGCCCCGACACCCAGCUUUCUGAAGGAUCUGGAAACACAUCUUUUCUACAGAUGGGCAUUGGGUUCCUAACCAGGGAGUGUAACAGUUUGCUUUGUACCAUGCCACCUUUAGUCUAGGACGCUGGGCCACGGCCCACAUCUCUAUGACAUUUACAACAGCACGGGACACUCUGUGUUAUCAAGGUUGCAGAACAGACCACCAGAAUGGAACACAUCCUCAACGGCAUCGAGGUGUUCGUUUAGAGUCUUUUGGACUUUCUCCCUUCAGCACGGCUUUUGGACAGGCAAUGGCAAUGUGCUGUGUCUCACAGACAGGCGUGGGGAAAACCGUGGUUCAAAGGUUAUUUAAAUUUGGUCAGUCUUAUAGUGUAUACUGAUGGCUUUGAACAAUUGUCUUCUUUUAAUCUCAUCUAGUGGCAAAAAAACGACACAACUUCCAUGUAUACUUCGCAACAGUUGUGACAGCAUCCUGAUUUCAUAACUCUCUGUAAUAUCAAAACAGCAUCGGCUGGGAAUAAAUUCCAAAGGAUCCUUUAUUAAAAUAUCUAAAAGA
rnacentral:lncRNA from 1 species